rnacentral:rRNA from 1 species
AGCGAACGCUGGCGGCAGGCCUAAUACAUGCAAGUCGAACGAACAUUUCGGGGUUAGUGGCGGACGGGUGAGUCACCCGUGGGAACGUGACUUUAGGGUCGGCCUAACUAAGGGAAACUUGUGAUAAUACCGAAUGUGCGCUACGGGGGGAAGAUUAAUCGCCCUUAGUGCGUCCCGAGUCUGAUUAGCUAGUUGGUUGAGUUAAUGGCUCACCCAGGCGACAAUCGGUAGCUGGUCUGUGAGAAUCAUAAGCGACUUCGGGUCGGGGACACGGCCCAAACUCCUACGGGAUGCAGCAGUGGGGAAUCGUGCGCAAUCGGCGAAAGCCUGACGCAGCCAGGACGCGUGAAUGAUGAAGGUCUGAGGAAUGUAAAAUUCUUGCACCUGUGACGAUAUUGACGGUACCCGGAGAAGAAGCCCCGGCUAACUUCGUG